GACGCUGAAGAGAGGAGCUUGCUCUUCUUGGAUGAGUUGCGAACGGGUGAGUAACGCGUAGGUAACCUGCCUUGUAGCGGGGGAUAACUAUUGGAAACGAUAGCUAAUACCGCAUAACAAUGGAUGACACAUGUCAUUUAUUUGAAAGGGGCAAUUGCUCCACUACAAGAUGGACCUGCGUUGUAUUAGCUAGUAGGUGAGGUAACGGCUCACCUAGGCGACGAUACAUAGCCGACCUGAGAGGGUGAUCGGCCACACUGGGACUGAGACACGGCCCAGACUCCUACGGGAGGCAGCAGUAGGGAAUCUUCGGCAAUGGGGGCAACCCUGACCGAGCAACGCCGCGUGAGUGAAGAAGGUUUUCGGAUCGUAAAGCUCUGUUGUAAGUCAAGAACGAGUGUGAGAGUGGAAAGUUCACACUGUGACGGUAGCUUACCAGAAAGGGACGGCUAACUACGUGCCAGCAGCCGCGGUAAUACGUAGGUCCCGAGCGUUGUCCGGAUUUAUUGGGCGUAAAGCGAGCGCAGGCGGUUUGAUAAGUCUGAAGUUAAAGGCUGUGGCUCAACCAUAGUUCGCUUUGGAAACUGUCAAACUUGAGUGCAGAAGGGGAGAGUGGAAUUCCAUGUGUAGCGGUGAAAUGCGUAGAUAUAUGGAGGAACACCGGUGGCGAAAGCGGCUCUCUGGUCUGUAACUGACGCUGAGGCUCGAAAGCGUGGGGAGCGAACAGGAUUAGAUACCCUGGUAGUCCACGCCGUAAACGAUGAGUGCUAGGUGUUGGAUCCUUUCCGGGAUUCAGUGCCGCAGCUAACGCAUUAAGCACUCCGCCUGGGGAGUACGACCGCAAGGUUGAAACUCAAAGGAAUUGACGGGGGCCCGCACAAGCGGUGGAGCAUGUGGUUUAAUUCGAAGCAACGCGAAGAACCUUACCAGGUCUUGACAUCCCGAUGCUAUUUCUAGAGAUAGAAAGUUACUUCGGUACAUCGGUGACAGGUGGUGCAUGGUUGUCGUCAGCUCGUGUCGUGAGAUGUUGGGUUAAGUCCCGCAACGAGCGCAACCCCUAUUGUUAGUUGCCAUCAUUCAGUUGGGCACUCUAGCGAGACUGCCGGUAAUAAACCGGAGGAAGGUGGGGAUGACGUCAAAUCAUCAUGCCCCUUAUGACCUGGGCUACACACGUGCUACAAUGGUUGGUACAACGAGUUGCGAGUCGGUGACGGCAAGCUAAUCUCUUAAAGCCAAUCUCAGUUCGGAUUGUAGGCUGCAACUCGCCUACAUGAAGUCGGAAUCGCUAGUAAUCGCGGAUCAGCACGCCGCGGUGAAUACGUUCCCGGGCCUUGUACACACCGCCCGUCACACCACGAGAGUUUGUAACACCCGAAGUCGGUGAGGUAACCUUUUGGAGCCAGC
rnacentral:rRNA from 1 species